GGAAAUCAAAUUUCGUGUCCCAUUUCUUCAAAAUCAAAGGAACCCCAUUCAUAGUGUAAGGUCCCCCAAAUAGUACAUGAUCUCUAUCUUGUUCACUGUGAAAUUUCACCACAAAGAACCCGUCGUCAUGCAGAUAUAUGUCAGGCUUUGCUACUUCAUGUUCUAGUUAUGUAACUACUCAUAUAACUGUACCUAGGAAUUUUCCCCAUAGAAUAGAGAACUAAAGCAUUUUUCCACUCUUUAGUCUGCUCAGCGAUUUCAACCUCUUCUCAUUUAACAGUCAAUUUUCCAUUUACCACCACAGGUGGGAUAAAGGACAAAGCUAUACCAUUCGAAACGGCUCGAUUCUGCGUGAACAGACCACUCCAAUUUUUUGGUAUUUCCUCUCGAGUCUCCUGCUGCUUUCCAGAUUGAGAUGUCACUUUAUCCCCUUUGUGAUCUUCCUCCAGAACUCCCUUUCUAAUAUCAUCAGCUCCCCUUUGUUUUGAACAUUCACCCUCCUCAGAUCUAAUGCUUAGAUCCGACGAACAAAUCUCCUUCCUUUCCGUGAGUGUACACUUACUACCUGAGUAAAUUCCCUAAAUAAUCAACCAUGUUUGAAAAUUUACCUAAUAAUAUUUUUUUUUAAGAUCACAAUAUCACCCUACUUCAGAAUACCAAGAUUCU
rnacentral:lncRNA from 1 species